UCCUACGGGAGGCAGCAGUGAGGAAUAUUGGUCAAUGGGCGAGAGCCUGAACCAGCCAGGUCGCGUGAGGGAAGACGGUCCUAUGGAUUGUAAACCUCUUUUGCCGGGGAGCAAAAAGCGGUACGUGUACCGCAUCGAGAGUACCCGGAGAAAAAGCAUCGGCUAACUCCGUGCCAGCAGCCGCGGUAAUACGGAGGAUGCGAGCGUUAUCCGGAUUUAUUGGGUUUAAAGGGUGCGUAGGCGGGCUGUUAAGUCAGCGGUCAAAUGUCGGGGCUCAACCCCGGCCUGCCGUUGAAACUGGCGGC
rnacentral:rRNA from 1 species